rnacentral:lncRNA from 1 species
AUGUACAACAUUAAUUCAACUAGUCUACAUUUUGUCUCUUUUAAGAUUGGAUACGUCUUUCCUGUGCAUUUAUUUCUUCAUUUAUUUCUGAAACGGUCUGCCGUAAUUGACCAAUCAGAAUCGAGCAUUUAAUCAAGUCAAUUGAACCUUAUAUUAUAGCCUAUGAGCAUUACACCUAGCCUGGCUCCGCCCGCCUAAGGACUUCCGCUAAAUUUGAAUUUCCCUUCAGUACUGCGGUUAGUGGGUUUUCUCCGUCUAAAUUUUCUGCGUCCAAUCAGCGAACAGAGGGAGUGGCUAAGGACAAUGACGUUAAAGUCAGCUCUCGUUGACGGACAUCUUCACGCACGGUGUUUGGUUUGUUUACACAGCCUGCGUUGAUUCCCGGCCAAACGUAAGCGGUUGGUUAUGUCAGAUCCAGAGUGGCACUGGGCAGAUCCAAUAGUUUUAAACUUCAACAGACACCCGCCUUCAAGUGAGUUAACGUUUGCAAAUUGAGUAUUGCCAGACUCUCUGUACAAAUGAAAUGAAGUACGAGAGUCUGAAAGGAACAGGCUACAUUACACCCACAAUUGAGCUCCAAUUUCCAUACAGUUCUCUACCUGCUUUUUACUGCAGUGGACCUCCUGGAAUACACUUCUAAAAUGCGAUUCUUACCCAUUGUGAACAUGUUGAAAGGAUGCCGAUUGGCUGUUGGAUGCUGGAGCCCGAUAGUGAUUCUGCUCGAACAAAUCUGCUGCAGCAGCACUGACCACUCGGCUGGCUGCGUGGUUCUUCCCUCUUGCACCAUCCAAUUAAAUCCUCAACGAUCAAAUCACCUGCAUGGAGGCACGAGGCCUGAUAUGAGGCCAGCUGAUGGCCAUAGAGCCUCAUGGAGGCCAGAGGUAAAGGGAGGAACCACCAGGAACUGGGAUAGAGGUGGAGAGGGGAACCUACCUAUCUGGAAUAGGUUCCUGCUCGUCACUCCCCAAGAGAGAGAACCAUCAACAUACAGACAGACGGACAGACAGACAGACAGACAGACAGACAGACAGGGAGACAGACAGGGAGACAGACGGAGAGAGAUGUAG